GGAAGUAAAAGUCGUAACAAGAUUUCCGUAGGUGAACCUGCGGAAGGAUCAUUAUUGUAUAACCGAGGUGCGAGGGCUGUCGCUGACCCGAAAGGUCGUGCACGCCCGAGUGCCCUCACACACAUCCAUCUCACCCCUAUGUGCACCACCGCGUGGAUCCCCCUUUGGCUUGUUCGGAGGGGGGCUUACGUUUUCACACAAACUUUGUAUGCAGUGUAGAAUGUAUUUUUUGUUUUUGCGAUCACGCAAUCAAUACAACUUUCAACAACGGAUCUCUUGGCUCUC
rnacentral:misc_RNA from 1 species